GAACGCACAUUGCGCCCCUCGGUAUUCCGGAGGGCAUGUCUGUUUGAGCGUCAUUUCAACACCCUCGCUUUAAGCGGUAUUGAGGCCUGGAAUCCAUAUCAAUGGAACCAAGCUUUUAAAGUUGAAGGCAAGCAGAACGAAUGUCUUGAACAAAACAUAGUAAAAUCUUCACGGUUUCUCCUGUUUGUCCUCGAUGUUACGUCUCGCCCAAACAAUUUUUUUAGUUUUGACCUCAGAUCAGACAAGGAUACCCGCUGAACUUAAG
rnacentral:misc_RNA from 1 species